rfam:TPA: Bos taurus chromosome 7, whole genome shotgun sequence.
UCAAUGGUGGUUCAGUGGUUAGGACUCUGCACUUCCAAUGCAGGGGGCACAGGUUCGAUCUCUGGUUGGGGAA